ACUGAAUAUCCUGAAGUAUUCCUGACAAGAGAGUGAGACCCUGGAAAAAGCAACCAAAACCACCUGAGUUAAGAGAGUCCUGAUCAGCCAGUGAAGGAACUUCUCCCUCUGUGCUGGAUAUGGAGAAGGCACAAUUAGCCGGUCUCUUGACAGGGCAAGAAACUGAAGAAGCACAGUGUCAGAUGGGUCCUCGCUGUGCUGCCAACCUGUGCAUGUCUGCAGGGGGCUGCCCCUUCAGUUCUUGAUGGCCUACUGAGGCAAGUAUUUGGUAAUUUUGUUUCCUCUGCUUUUCUGCUCACUUAACUGGGUCUUAAUCCGUUCUUGUCCCUUUUAACUUCAUGCAGAACUGAAGAACAUUAUGACACAACAACAUUAAAAGCAUUGCAAAAUGCUCCUGUAUUUUCUGCACAGCAGUUGUGGACAAAGCUCACAAAAUACUGUGUUAUU
rnacentral:lncRNA from 1 species